UGUAUUAUAAUUAUUUAAAGCGCCUGGGUACGAGGCAGGGAGUUUGGUAUAUAUGUCAUAUGAGCAUUUUUAUUGGGAAAGUAUUCAGUUUGUGUCGUAGUUGGUUCAUUAUAGAUGCAAAAUCAUCCUAAACCUGAUUCAAAACUCAUUUUGCGGCCCAAGGAAGAUUUUCGUGACAUUUUUCAGCCCGGUUAACCGGGCUGGCCCGGUCCAUGUAAUCAGCCCCUUACUGUACUGUGCUACAACAACUGUCCAGGCAAGCAUAAGUGAUAAAAAACCAAUAUAAACUUUAUAAACAAAAGAUAAUGUAAAACGUAACAGAACGUUGAACAUGCAGAUUCGGCCAUCUCAAAUAAUGGUAAUGUUGGGAUAGUAGCGUUGCAGACUGCAGAGGAGAGUAGGCAGCAAGGCUCCCUUAUGCUCCACCCCCAUGGAAAACCUGCACACCUCCUUGCACAUGAGGUUAGAUCCGCCCAUGCAUCGAAAUGGUGCAUUAUCCACGCAUUUCACAAAGAAUUUGCACCUUACACAAGUAAAAACGCAUAAGUUGUUCCAGAUCUGCAAAAAGGUUCUAACAGGUUGUUAUCAAGCCUGGGAACUAGCUGUUAUCAUCUUGUUACAACGUUAUUAUCAACUUGUUAACAAUUUGUCACGUACAGACUAUAUACCAGUCUUGUUGGAACAACUUUUGUGCGAGUCUGUUGGCCACAUCAACCUUGUAACAAGAUGACAACAACUUGUUCCAGAGUUGUCAACAACUUGUAACAAGCAUUGCGAACACAUCUUGUUCACAAGCUGUGAGAUAUUUACGCGUGUAUGCUGGUAAUGAACAAAAAUUCUUACACUCUCCAAUUGACAACUUGCAUGUUAGACUAAAUUUUAAUCUAAGUAAAGAGAAGGGAAUCAAACACCACAGUUAAAAAGAACAUAAUGAAAUUAGUAAAAUUGCGAAAUUUGGUUGCGAAAUGUUGUAAAAUACGGAAAAUAUAGCCUUGCGAAGUUUGCAUAUUUUCAGUAUAUUUGUAUUACGUGCGGAAAUUGCUACCAUUUUCGGCUCAAAAAUG